AACGUUUCAAAGCUUUUAAUGACAUCGCACAUAUUUAAAUGAGAUAGAGGUGGUGAUAGAUAGUAGAUAGAUAGAUAGAUAGUCAAAGUCUACAGGUGCAAUUUAAUACAUGAGGAAGCUAGCUUUAACUUCUGAAUAUAUUUGGCUCAAAAUACCAAGACGUUGCAGUUUUCUUCAUUCCUAUGGAGUGGUGUUGAUUGUGCAGUUAAGAUGUCAGUAUGGUUCAGUACACUAGAGCAGGACAGCACUAUGUAGAUAUACAGAGCAGAAAACACCCCAUCACGCCAGGCUUCAAGCAAGCAGUGGGAGGAUGCAGUUAUCGGUCUCCCGUCGAACAUCCAUCCUUCAAUGUCUAUUAUUAUACAGCGCUUGCUUUUACAAUCUGUACUACAAUAUGAAACAUUACCAACGUAAAAAUUAAGUGUGGAGGUAAAAAUCAAAUGUAGCAAAUGAGACUUUCCUUCCUGGUCUAGACAGGGAGAGUUAGAGAAACAUCCUUCAUUUAGUUUGUGUAGUUUGAGCUACUUAAGCCUAGCUUAGCAUGCAGGGAAAUCAGCUUAAAUCAUCCUUCCAGUAUCACCCCUUCCCUUCACGCUAUUGGCUGUUCAUAUCAACCAAUCAGGGGUGGCUGUUGAGUGCAGACAACCUAUCAAAUCUCACUAUGGGUCCAGUUUCCUUCAGGAGGAGCGGAAUGUGUCUUACAACAAAUGAUAGAAUAUAUAAAAAAAACACAAAACAUCUUUAUAUUGUGACUUCCUGGUGAAGAUGAAAUAUAAUAAGGAAUAUAAAACUGCAGUGAAAUCAGAAGGUAGAAAAAAGGUCCCACAACAACUCAUCCAACAGGAGUCUGUCCUGAAGACCUGGCUAACCAGACCCCUACAGAGACCCCUAGCCACCCAGACCUGGUCCACAAGAACCCCUACAGAGUCCCCUAACCAUCCAGACCUGUUCCAUCAGACCCCCCACAGAGACCCCUACCUACACUACAAAGCACCCAGCAGAGAGGAAGAGGGGGUGGAACCAAAGGAAAAGGAAGGUAGAGAACGUAGAGAACAUACAGAACGUAGAGAGACAGAGAGUGUAGAGGAUAGUGUAGAGGACAGAGCACGUAGAGGACAGAGAGUGUAGAGGAUAGAGACAGAAUAUAGAGAACGUAGAGGACAGAGUACGUAGAAGGCAGAGAACGUAGAGGACAAAGAACGUGGAGAACGUAGAGGGGCAGAGCGGUAGGACAGCAACAGGAGUCUACUACUUCUUCUUGCUGAACAGACUGAAUCUCUUCUCCUUGUCCUUCUCCUUGUCCUUCUCACGCUUCCCGGACUGGACUCGGUCGUCAUCAUGGCGGGAGGGAGUGCGG
ensembl:lncRNA